CUUUCUAUCUCGUCCCCAUCCACAUCUGGAGAGAGUCUACUGCAGCGUUUUCUUUCGUCUCUUCCAAAAUCCAUUCCCUUCUAUGCCUUUUCUUUGCCUAUUCUCUCCCUUUUUCAUUUUUCAUAUUCCUACUCUUCAAUCUGCGGACGGAGAGGGAGGAACUCUUCGGUGGCUUCCAAAGAAAGAGGGGAUUUCCUAAACGCAGAUUGCGAGGAACCCAAAAGUUUUAUGCUUGAAUUCUGUUUUUGUGCUAGUAAUGGCGAAAACAUGCAAGUCGCAAGAAGAAAUUGCGUGUGGAGCUAUUAAACACGCUUUGAAGGCACUGCGGAAGCGCCAUUUGCUUGAAGAAGCCGCUCAUGGCCCCGCUGUUCUAGCUCUUUGUAGACCCAUUGUUUCUCAGGGCUCUGAGUGGAAAGAGAAAGCAGAGAAUCUUCAAGUGGAACUUCAGCAAUGCUACAAAGCUCAAUCUCGGUUGUCUGAGCAACUUGUUGUGGAAGUAGCUGAGUCCAGAGCUUCAAAAGCGUUGGUUCAAGAGAAAGAAAAUGCAGUUGCUGAUUUGCAAAAGGAAUUGACCGAAUUGAGGGAGGAGUGCUCUCAAUUAAAGGAAGACUUGGAAGAAAAGAUUAAAUCUCUAGAAGUGAUUGUCAGUGAGAAUACUGAACUUAAAGCCCAACUGCAGCAGAUGACUGCUAAAGCAAAUAAAGCUGAAGCUGAAAAUAAGAUGUUGAUUGACCGCUGGAUGUUGGAAAAGAUGAAGGAUGCUGAACGCCUGAACGAGGCUAAUGCACUGUACGAAGACAUGGUCGAGAAACUAAAGGCCAGUGGCUUAGAGCAACUUGCAAGGCAGCAGGUGGAUGGUAUAGUUCGCCAAAGUGAAGAAGGUGCUGAGUUUUUUUUAGAGUCAAACAUCCCUUCCACAUGUAAAUACAGGCUUCGUGCACAUGAAGGUGGUUGUGCUUCCAUGUUGUUUGAGUACAAUUCCGGUAAAUUGAUUACUGGGGGACACGAUCGGUUAGUUAAAAUGUGGGAUACAAAUACCGGAUCCUUAUCUUCUACUCUUCAAGGCUGCCUUGGCUCAGUAUUAGAUCUCACUAUCACCCAUGAUAAUCGAUCUGUCAUUGCUGCAAGCAGCUCAAACAACUUGUAUGUAUGGGAUGUCAACUCAGGCCGUGUCCGUCAUACCCUUACCGGCCACACAGAUAAAGUUUGUGCUGUUGAUGUGAGCAAGAUUUCAAGUCGUUAUGUUGUCAGUGCUGCUUAUGAUCGUACCAUAAAAGUUUGGGACCUAAUGAAAGGUUACUGCACUAACACAAUCAUUUUUCACAGCAACUGCAAUGCUCUCUCUUUCAGCAUGGAUGGUCAGACCAUAUUUUCAGGACAUGUUGAUGGUAAUCUUCGGUUAUGGGACAUUCAGAGCGGAAAACUACUCAGCGAGGUUGCUGCACAUUCACUUGCGGUUACAUCAAUAUCCCUUUCUCGAAAUGGAAAUGUUGUACUGACCAGUGGAAGGGACAAUAUGCACAAUUUGUUUGACGUGCGAUCUCUUGAAGUUUGUGGCACACUAAAAGCGGCAGGAAACAGAGUUGCUUCUAACUGGAGUCGCUCCUGUAUUAGUCCUGAUGACAAUCACGUUGCUGCUGGGUCUGCAGAUGGAUCUGUGUAUAUUUGGUCAGUUUCAAAAGGUGAUAUAGUCGGCACGCUUAAGGAACACACUUCUUCCGUUCUGUGUUGUACGUGGAGCGGGAUCGGAAAACCCCUAGCUUCAGCUGACAAGAAUGGGAUAGUUUGUGUCUGGACAUAAUAAUGGCCUUUCAUUUCUUUGCAAGGAAGUGUGUGAUAUGGCUCAAUUGACUGCCUCAAUUCGUCAUUACUGUUUUAUGUUCAUACAAGUAGUUAUGAAGAAUUUUGUCCAAAAAGGUUCUUGGUCUCAAGUGAAAUGAGUGGACUAAUUUGAGACGAAGGUAUGAAGCCCUUCUGCUAGAUACAAAUGUUGAGUUGGCAAAAUUUGUCCAGAAGUCACCAGCCAUCUGCCAUUGAUGUGUAUAGAUAACGGCCAAUUGAACGAUUAGCUGGUAACUUGGUACCAUAUUCUGUGAUUGCAAGUUCUCAUUCGUAACUUAACGUUACCUACAGUCUUACGUGUGUGUUCUGGUACUGUAAUAAUUGGUACUUUGACGGCAUUCUGUGAAAGUGUAACCUUUACUUUUGCACGCACCGCAAAUACUUGUACUGAGCUUAACAUUGCUAUCUUGGAAAGUGGGUGCUAGAUAUGCAAGUAGUACUCACAAAAGUACCUUAUUGCACCGGUGAUUCCCAUCCAACCCCAUGAAGUGUCAUUGAUGAAAUGCAGAAACAGAUGAAGUUGGUUUUUCUGUAAGGCCGGGGUUGUGAGCAAUUACUGCUAUAUAAGGAAUUUUUUUCUGCAUCC